CAGCCGCCGCCGGUAAUACGUAGGGUGCAAGCGUUAAUCGGAAUUACUGGGCGUAAAGCGUGCGCAGGCGGUUAUAUAAGACAGAUGUGAAAUCCCCGGGCUCAACCUGGGAACUGCAUUUGUGACUGUAUAGCUAGAGUACGGCAGAGGGGGAUGGAAUUCCGCGUGUAGCAGUGAAAUGCGUAGAUAUGCGGAGGAACACCGAUGGCGAAGGCAAUCCCCUGGGCCUGUACUGACGCUCAUGCACGAAAGCGUGGGGAGCAAACAGGAUUAGAUACCCCAGUAGUCCCUGUCUCUUAUA
rnacentral:rRNA from 1 species